GCUUCGUUGGCGCAGUAGGCAGCGCAUGAGUCUCGUAUUCUGAAGGUUGUGAAUUCGAGCCUCACACAGGGCA
rnacentral:tRNA from 1 species